UAAUCGAACUCUCUUAGCUCAUUGAAAUCAUACAAUUUAAUUACAAUAUUUCUUCCGAUAAAACAUUGACACUCAUUACCCGACUUCUAUAUUUUAUUUGGCUCAUGAUGUCAAUUAUUUUGUGUCAAUACAGUACAACAAAGGAUUCCAGUUGGAGGAUCCACAUCAUGUAAGGGAGCAAGAGAUCCGAAACUGGUAGAUACAUACACUAAUUCUAUUCAGAGUUCCACUGAAAUUAUCAAAUAUUCGGAUAGAAUCAUAUGGGUGGUCGAGCCACGUCCACAGGUGCGACAGACAUCGAGCAUU
rnacentral:lncRNA from 1 species